rnacentral:rRNA from 1 species
UACGGAGGGUCCAAGCGUUAUCCGGAAUCAUUGGGUUUAAAGGGUCCGUAGGCGGCUCUGUAAGUCAGUGGUGAAAUCUCCCGGCUCAACCGGGAAAUAGCCAUUGAUACUGCAGGUCUUGAAUUAUUGGGAAGUAACUAGAAUAUGUAGUGUAGCGGUGAAAUGCUUAGAGAUUACAUGGAAUACCAAUUGCGAAGGCAGGUUACUAUCAAUAUAUUGACGCUGAUGGACGAAAGCGUGGGUAGCGAACAGG